GCCAGCAUGGUGUAGUGGUUUGAGUACUGGACUAGGACUCUGGAGACCAGGGUUUGAUUCCCUGCUCAGCCA